AUUGAACGCUGGCGGCAGGCUUAACACAUGCAAGUCGAGCGGGGUGAUGGUGCUUGCACUAUCACUUAGCGGCGGACGGGUGAGUAAUGCUUAGGAAUCUGCUUAUUAGUGGGGGACAACAUCUCGAAAGGGAUGCUAAUACCGCAUACGUCCUACGGGAGAAAGCAGGGGAUCACUUGUGACCUUGCGCUAAUAGAUGAGCCUAAGUCGGAUUAGCUUGUUGGUGGGGUAAAGGCCUACCAAGGCGACGAUCUGUAGCGGGUCUGAGAGGAUGAUCGGCCACCCUGGGACUGAAACACAGCCCAGACUCCUACGGGAGGCAGCAGUGGGGAAUAUUGGAAAAUGGGGGGAACCCUGAUCCAGCCAUGCCGCUGGUGUGAAGAAGGCCUUAUGGUUGUAGAGCACUUUAAGCGAGGAGGAGGCUCUUUUGGUUAAUACCCAAGAUGAGUGGACGUUACUCGCAGAAUAAGCACCGGCUAACUCUGUGCCAGCCGCCGCAGUAA
rnacentral:rRNA from 1 species